rnacentral:rRNA from 17 species
ACAUGCAAGUCGAACGGUAACAGGGAGCUUGCUCCGCUGACGAGUGGCGAACGGGUGAGUAAUACAUCGGAACGUGCCCAGUAAUGGGGGAUAGCUCGGCGAAAGCCGGAUUAAUACCGCAUACGCCCUGAGGGGGAAAGUGGGGGACCGCAAGGCCUCACGUUAUUGGAGCGGCCGAUGGCUGAUUAGCUAGUUGGUAGGGUAAAGGCCUACCAAGGCUACGAUCAGUAGCUGGUCUGAGAGGA